AGCAACUCCGAAGCAAAUAGAGCACACCAACAUCUUCCGCUGAGCUGAUAGCCUACUUGGAGGGCUCUCGACCUGUCUAUCGGGACCUGCGGGCAUGAAACGCAGCGUCCCCAGGCAAAAGGAACGUCAGUACGAAUAAUUUACAAAGUAUGUAAAACACAUAAAUAAUUACAUAAGAGACAUGGAAGACAUAUAGAGUACAUGACUCAACCUGUAAGUAUGAAUAACUUUGUAGAUCAUAAAUUACUCUUAGCGUCAUGCAUGUGCAUAUGAAUGUCAUGUCAUGCAUAGGUACAUGUUUCAUAACAUCAUCAGCCUUUGAGGGCAUUCCAUUAUAUCAUACCGGCUACUGUGGGCAAAAUCAUCAUCGUAUACCAGCUGAUCAGGUGGUGGUGCGUAUAUAAAGCCAUAACCUUUCUCAUAUCCCAUAUACAUAUAUUUACAUAUAUACUCAUAUAUAAUGUUGUUUGAGUACAUACAUAUAUAUGCGUAUAUAACGCCGUUUGAAUCAUAUUUCAGCCACAGCCCUG
rnacentral:lncRNA from 1 species